rnacentral:rRNA from 1 species
AGUGAACGCUGGCGGUAGGCCUAACACAUGCAAGUCGAACGGCAGCACAGUAAGAGCUUGCUCUUACGGGUGGCGAGUGGCGGACGGGUGAGGAAUACAUCGGAAUCUACUUUUUCGUGGGGGAUAACGUAGGGAAACUUACGCUAAUACCGCAUACGACCUACGGGUGAAAGCAGGGGAUCUUCGGACCUUGCGCGAUUGAAUGAGCCGAUGUCGGAUUAGCUAGUUGGCGGGGUAAAGGCCCACCAAGGCGACGAUCCGUAGCUGGUCUGAGAGGAUGAUCAGCCACACUGGAACUGAGACACGGUCCAGACUCCUACGGGAGGCAGCAGUGGGGAAUAUUGGGCAAUGGGCGCAAGCCUGAUCCAGCCAUACCGCGUGGGUGAAGAAGGCCUUCGGGUUGUAAAGUCCUUUUGUUGGGAAAGAAAAGCAGCAGGUUAAUACCCCGCUGUUCUGACGGUACCCAAAGAAUAAGCACCGGCUAACUUCGUG